CGCGUAGGCGGGCGAGUCAGUCUGUGGUGCAAUCUAUCGGCUUAACCGAUAGUUUGCCAUGGAUACUGCUUGUCUUGAGAUCGGAAGGGGGAAGCGGAAUUCCUGGUGUAGCGGUGAAAUGCGUAGAUAUCAGGAAGAACACCGGUGGCGAAGGCGGUUUCCUGGUCCGAAACUGACGCUGAUGCGCGAAAGCGUGGGAGCGAACA
rnacentral:rRNA from 1 species